rnacentral:lncRNA from 10 species
AUUUUAUAUUUCAUUUUCUUUAUUCGUCCCUCCAGGAGAUUUCUUUAGUCUGGUCUUCUAAUUUUCUCAUGAAUUCCUACAAUGUAUCCAUUCUGCUGUGUGUCCUGUCUAUUGAGCCCUUUAUUUCAGGAGUUUUAUUUUUCCCUUCAAAUAUUUCUGGUUUUCUUUUCCAAUUGUUGGUAUCAUCUUUCUAGCUUUGUUUUACUAUUUCUACUUCUGUUAGGAUCUGUAAUCUAGUAUGUUACUAUUCUUUUAAAGUCUCUUUACUCAAGUGUUGUGGUAUGUUGGCCUGUGAGCUCAUUUUCCCUGACUAACAUUGGCUACCCAGCAGCGUGUGCUUGAGACAGCCCAGCUGAUGCACUCCUCGCCAGCCCCAAGGGGUUCAUGAAGGACAGGAUUGAAUGAACCCCGGGGAGGAGCACCCAAGCAAUAAGAGCAACCAUUCUUCACUCUGGAAAACGACUCAGUUUAGGGCUGUCAACAGCUCCUUUCUCAUUUUACUGUCUCACUUCCCUGUGUUAUGCCAAAAAAAGCAGUGUCCUGCCUUAAGCCAAAGUGCCACCCCUCACAUGCAAGCUUACUCCUGGGUUCCUCAUAUUUUGCUCUGUGAGGUGGUGUUUUCCUUUAUAUGUACUCAAGUUAAUCUUGGUGGAGGUAGCCAGUAACCAAGGAAGUUGAGCACUUUGGGAGGGUCUGGCACUGGAACCCCAUUAACAUAUAUAUGUCUAGUAUAAUUCAAUCAUUCGAAACGUCAAGAGUGGAGUUUCACUGGUGUUUAAGUGAAAUGCAUAAUGAUCUUAUGUCUGUUGUUUCCAGCAGAAGGACAGAAGAUCCAUAAUGUAACAACGUCCUGACCAAUACUGAGUGUAUUUCUAUUGGGGGAUCCCCUGGGCACAGGGAGAAAACAGUCCAUGAAAGGGAUCCUCCAUUCUUCCUCCCGUUGCCUUGCCCUUUGACACCUGCUUCUCUCCAGGCCACCUUUCUAAAGCCCAGCCUAUGUCCCUUCCUCAGAGCACAGAACCCUGCAGGUCUUUAAGCUCGCAGUGCUUUCCAUUCAUGGACAUUUUUAUACCUUAUUUUUGCCAAACACUGUGCCAGGCACAAAUUUAUCUUUAAAAGAAAUUGUAAUGAAGUAGGCAUAUAGAAAAGUGCAUGAAACUUUUACCAUUUAAAGUAUA